rnacentral:rRNA from 1 species
UUUUAUGGAGAGUUUGAUCCUGGCUCAGGAUGAACGCUGGCGGCGUGCCUAAUACAUGCAAGUCGAGCGAACUGACGAGGAGCUUGCUCCUUUGACGUUAGCGGCGGACGGGUGAGUAACACGUGGGUAACCUACCUAUAAGACUGGAAUAACUCCGGGAAACCGGGGCUAAUGCCGGAUAACAUGUUGAACCGCAUGGUUCAACAGUGAAAGACGGUCUUGCUGUCACUUAUAGAUGGACCCGCGCCGUAUUAGCUAGUUGGUAAGGUAACGGCUUACCAAGGCGACGAUACGUAGCCGACCUGAGAGGGUGAUCGGCCACACUGGAACUGAGACACGGUCCAGACUCCUACGGGAGGCAGCAGUAGGGAAUCUUCCGCAAUGGGCGAAAGCCUGACGGAGCA